ACGGCUACCCCCGGCUCAACCUAGCCCAGACUGUCCGAGGGGCCCGCGCGCGGCCGCAGCCCCCGCCCCCAGCCCGCAGUGCUCUUACCUCCACACCUGCCCCAUCUGCAGCAGGUGGAUGACCGACUGCCAGAUCCACACGGAGAGGCGGCACAGACGCUGCGCCCCCGGGGUGGCCGAGCCCCCCGCACCCGGGCCGCCGCGGGCCGCGCCGUGGCCGUAGCCGGCCCCCAUCAUUGGGGGUCCCCGGCUGCUGAGCCCCUCCACGGCGCCUAGCCCGCCGCCCGUGUAGUCCUGCACGAACCAGCGGAAGCUCAGGCUCUGCACCAGCAGCGACGGCACCAGCACGAAGAACAGGGUCAGCCCGAAGCAGCCGUAGUCCCCCUUGCGGUAGUAGUCGAGGGCCAGCCACAGUGGUACCAAAAGGCUCCUUCAUAAUCAGUUCUACACAAUGAGUUCUCCUGAAUCACACCCUAUGCCAUCUACCCACUGAUGCCAACCCCAAAGGACAUCAUAUCACAGCACUAGUUAUAGGAAGGACCCUGUUACAUUGCAGUAACGGCACACAUCUAGGACACAUCGUGUAAAUCCUAGUAUGAGGAUGGGCCUCAGCACGACACCACUGAUGGGCUUUUGAGCCUCUGGAAGCUUCUUAACUCUAAGUGUGCAUCAUCCUUAUGCUUCUAUUU
ensembl:antisense Gm15918 predicted gene 15918